rnacentral:rRNA from 1 species
GACGAACGCUGGCGGCGUGCCUAAUACAUGCAAGUCGAGCGGACUGAAUGGGAGCUUGCUCUUGUUCGGUCAGCGGCGGACGGGUGAGUAACACGUGGGCAACCUGCCCGCAAGACCGGGAUAACUCCGGGAAACCGGAGCUAAUACCGGAUAACACCGAAGACCGCAUGGUCUUUGGUUGAAAGGCGGCGCACGCUGCCACUUGCGGAUGGGCCCGCGGCGCAUUAGCUAGUUGGUGAGGUAACGGCUCACCAAGGCGACGAUGCGUAGCCGGCCUGAGAGGGUGACCGGCCACACUGGGACUGAGACACGGCCCAGACUCCUACGGGAGGCAGCAGUAGGGAAUCUUCCGCAAUGGGCGAAAGCCUGACGGAGCGACGCCGCGGGAGCGAAGAAGGCCUUCGGGUCGUAAAGCUCUGUUGUGAGGAACGAAGGAGCGCCGUUUGAAGAAGGCGGCGCGGUGACGGUACCUCACGAGGAAGCCCCGGCUAACUACGUG